CUCUAUAGCAGGAAAAAAAGUGUUAUUUAGAGUGUGUAGUGUAAUGAUAUAAAAUAUCCUAUGACACUUUUUGUAAUAAAAUAAUAUCUGUAAGAAAACAUACGUAGGCUACACUUGUCACCAACCUUGAGACGGUACGGAAGCAGGAGCGGGAGGCGGGUGAACAGAGUAGGAUCGGGAAGUUCAGGAAGCGUAGUCGUAGAGUCAGCAAGGGUCAAGCGAUCGGGCGAACAAUACAAAUGGGGAUAUCCAGAAAGCGUAGUCGAGACAGGAAGCGAGGGUCGAGGAUUAUAAGAAACAACGAACUAGAUCGGCUUGGUAACGCAGCAAACUAGGCUACUGAGCGUAUACUUCGCGCCGCUUCUCGGUGGCUGUCUUCUCUAAGUACUAGUGUGUGAUUGGUACCAGGUGUGUCUGAUCAGAACUCCGGGGAUGGGGAGCGCAUGCGUGCCUGGGAAGAUAACGUUACACAAUGAACACCACGACCACCAGUCAACGAAACACCGGAGUCUACUCACGUGAGGAGCUCUUGCAGUUCCGGGAUCAACCUGUUGCAUGUCCGAAGGGGAUCCCGGUGGAGUUAAGGAUUAGAAGGCGAGGAUGUCGUGCUGGCGUGAUGGUGAGGAAUAAGAAGACGGGGAGUCGGUGGAGAUACAAGCCCUGUCUUCCCACGGUCGUCAUGGGGAACGUCCGCUCACUGACAAACAAGAUGGAUGAACUCUCGGCCCUGGUCAGCGGGCAGCGCGAGUAUCGGGAGUGCAGCAUGUUAUGUCUGACUGAAACUUGGUUGAAUGGGAAAACACCAGACUGCUCAGUGGAACUAGCUGGCUUCGAGCUUAUAUAAUCCUUAUAAUCCUUAUAAUAUUCUGCAUUCCUUGUGUGUGUGGCUGCAUAGGCCUCUAUGUGUGUGUGUCUCUUAGUUGACCUUCUGCCUGCGUGCAGACGUACUCCACCUACGCUCUGAGGCCUGCCGCACUUAAUCAAAUACAUGUAUUGUUAUCCCCCUGCACCUUGCUUAUCUGUGUGUUGUGUCUUAGGUGGACAUCCGUUCAUACAGUCCACCAGCCCAGUGAAUUCUCAAUAAGAUUACAUAUUACUCAUACUAGGUCUCCCUCGUGUUUAUUUCUUGUGUUUUUCAUAUACAACAAGGUGGUGACUGAGAGGAGGAUGAGAAGGAAGCUGAAAACCAUCAUGGACGACCCCUCUCAUCCUCUCUAUGCUGAGCUGAGGCAGCUCAGGAGCUCCUUCAACCACAGACUCAUCCAGCCCUGAGCCUCAAAGCGCUUUGGAGGCUCAUUUGUGCCAUCAGCCAUCAGGCUCCACAACACCACAGCACCAAACUGACAGAUUUAAGCCUGAUUAUAUCUGAGACAUUAUUUGGUUGUAAAUAAUUGUUAUUGAUUAUAUAGUGUAAAUAGUGUG
ensembl:lncRNA